AGUUAUCCAGCUCUGCUCUUUGUACUGCUCAGCAAGCCUGCAAGCAGAACAUAGUAACUUCUACACAGUGUCCCUGAGAUGGGAACUACAGGAACAGUGUUACUGAAAGCUAACUUCUACUUAAAGGAGCUGCAACCAUCAAUUGUUAUUCACGGACAACUCAACGAUAACUUCCAGUAGCCUAUCUACAUAUGAAGUUCAUGGCUGUGGCUUCUGGCAGGUAAGUCACUACAGUUUUUCUGCUAUCAUAAAAGAUAACCAAUAAAUAUUCAUAUUUCAUCCAAUAACCUAAGUAAUAUUAGACUACCUGCCUCAGAUUUCUGCUUCAGUUGAUGGGUGUGCAAAAGGAUGCACACCCAUCAACUGAUGUAACAUCCCAUUGUGAGAUGCUGCGCCCAGAGGGAGGAGCCAAGCAUUCCUAACUGGAUAUAUAGUCUUGAGUUUCUGGAACACCAGCACGGGUUUUCCUGGCACUGGAUUUCCCAGGGAACAGCUGUCUCUGCCACUGCAGGAAGACUACAACCCUUUUUUACAGGAUCACUGCUCCAACAGAACCACACCUGCCGCUCCAGGAGGACUGCAGCCGUAAUUCCCAAUUGGACUGCAGCCAACACCCUGACUGACAGGGUGUCAGGUUGUAUUUUGAUUCUGUCAGUGUUGUUUUGGGUCACUGCAUUGUUUAUUUUAUCUUUUUAUUUUCUUCCCUAAUAAAGAACUGUUAUUCCUGCUCCCA